GCUCUUGGCUUUUUCAAGCUUUUGAGAAGUCAACCUAAUGCACUUUGUGAUGUGCUUUUGAAUUGGAGUCGUAUCACAGUGGAUUUGGUUUAUUUCUUACAUUUUCUAUCAUCAUUUUUGAGA
rnacentral:precursor_RNA from 8 species